ACCUCGGAUCAGGUAGGAAUACCCGCUGAACUUAAGCAUAUCAAUAAGCGGAGGAAAAGAAACCAACAGGGAUUGCCUCAGUAACGGCGAGUGAAGCGGCAACAGCUCAAAUUUGAAAUCUGGCCCCCAGGCCCGAGUUGUAAUUUGUAGAGGAUGAUUCUGGCGACGCGCCUUCCGAGUUCCCUGGAACGGGACGCCAUAGAGGGUGAGAGCCCCGUCCGGUCGUGCGCCUAGCCUCUGUGAAUCUCCUUCGACGAGUCGAGUAGUUUGGGAAUGCUGCUCUAAAUGGGAGGUAUACGUCUUCUAAAGCUAAAUACCGGCCAGAGACCGAUAGCGCACAAGUAGAGUGAUCGAAAGAUGAAAAGCACUUUGAAAAGAGGGUUAAAUAGUACGUGAAAUUGCUGAAAGGGAAGCGCUUAUGACCAGACUUGGGCGUGGUGAAUCAUCCGGCGUUCUCGCCGGUGCACUUUGCCUGUCCAGGCCAGCAUCAGUUCUCCCCGGGGGAUAAAGGCUUCGGGAAUGUAGCUCUUUCGGGAGUGUUAUAGACCGUUGCGUAAUACCCUGGGGGGGACUGAGGUACGCG
rnacentral:rRNA from 1 species